rnacentral:ncRNA from 1 species
UAGGAGGCAUUCCCACUCAAUUUUUUAAUAAAAUUUAAAUUUACAUGUAAACUGAAUAAUCAAAAAUCUUAAAUAGAUUUAUUGCAGUAGAUAAUAUUAAACAAUUAAGUAAUCUUAGAUUUAGUUAUAAUUUAUAGUAUUAACAAAGUUUGUGCCAGCAGUUGCGGUUACACAGACAAUGCUAUUAAAAUUUUUUGGCUAUAAUAAAUAUGAAAUAAAAUUUUAUAUGUAAAAUUAUUAGGUGAAAUUUUAAUUUUAUGAAAAUAUUUAUAAUUUUAUAUGAUCUUAAGAUAUUUUUUUUAUAAACUAGGAUUAGAUACCCUAUUAUUAAAAACGUAAAGUUAAAGGCCUAAUUAGUAUUAGUUAUGUUCUUGAAAAUUAAAGAAGAUGGCGGUAUUUUAGUCUAUUCAGAGGAACCUGUUCUAUAAAUGAUACUCCACGAUUUUAUUAACCUAAGUUAUUAAUUUGUAUAUCGUCGUAGAUUGAGUAUUUCAUAAGAAUUAAAAUACUCAAUAUUUUAAAUAAUAGAAGAAAUCAGAUCAAGGUGCAGUUUAUACUUAGGUAGAAAUGGGUUACAAUAAACUUAUUUAAACGAAUUAUUUAUUAAAAUUGAAUAUGAAGGUGGAUUUGAAGGUAAUUUUAAAAAGAUAUUUAAAAUGAUUUUAGCUCUAAAAUAUGUACAUAUCGCCCGUCGCUUUCAUUUAAAUGAAAUAAGUCGUAACAAAGUAGUCUUACUGGAAAGUGAGGCUAGAAAGCGA